rfam:Clostridium halophilum strain M1 genome assembly, contig: G325DRAFT_scaffold00001.1
UGGAUAGUAUCGUAUAUACGAGCUAUACCACUUUAAAUAUUCAUAAUUUUCACAAAAAUCAAUAUGGUUAUUAAUCUGCUCUGAGCCUAUGCUAUGGACCGAGACAGAAGG